rnacentral:tRNA from 3 species
GGGUUGCUAACUCAACGGUAGAGUACUCGGCUUUUAUCCGACUAGUUCCGGGUUCGAGCCCCGGGCAACCCA